GAUGAACGCUAGCGGCAGGCUUAAUACAUGCAAGUCGAGGGACAGCACAGGUAGCAAUACUGGGUGGUAACCGGCAAACGGGUGCGGAACACGUACACAACCUUCCUUUAAGUGGGGGAUAGCCCAGAGAAAUUUGGAUUAAUACCCCGUAAUAUAGUUGAAUGGCAUCAUUUGAUUAUUAUAGCUACGGCGCUUAAUGAUGGGUGUGCGGCUGAUUAGAUAGUUGGCGGGGUAACGGCCCACCAAGCCUACGAUCAGUAGCUGAUGUGAGAGCAUGAUCAGCCACACGGGCACUGAGACACGGGCCCGACUCCUACGGGAGGCAGCAGUAAGGAAUAUUGGUCAAUGGACGCAAGUCUGAACCAGCCAUGCCGCGUGAAGGAUUAAGGUCCUCUGGAUUGUAAACUUCUUUUAUUUGGGACGAAAAAGGGCCUUUCUAGGUCAACUGACGGUACCAGAUGUAUAAGCACCGGCUAACUCCGUGCCAGCAGCCGCCGUAACAC
rnacentral:rRNA from 1 species